GACGAACCGUGCGAACGUUAUUCGGAAUCACUGGGCUUAAAGCGCGUGUAGGCGGAUGGGGACGUCGGUCGCUGAAAGCCCCCGGCUCAACCGGGGAACGGGCGCCGAAACGCCCCGUCUGGAGGGACGUAGGGGGACCUGGAACUUCCGGUGGAGCGGUGAAAUGCGUUGAGAUUGGAAAGAACACCGAUGGCGAAGGCACUUUACUGGGCUAUUACUAACACUCAGAGACGAAAGCUAGGGUAGCAAAUGGG
rnacentral:rRNA from 1 species